ensembl:lncRNA
CAGAAGGGGUGGAGCCAUGCUCCCCCCCUUCCUACACCCCAUUUAAGGGCUGACUCUCAAGGAGGAAGGAUCUUUAUCUGGUGCUCAUCCCUCUUGGAAUCUUUCUGUGAGCCCAGAACAUGGGACUAAACGUGAAAAAGAUGUUCUUCAUAGAACAUGACACAAUCCCACUCUUGGACAGCCUGGAUGACGGAACGCAAAAGAGUGUACAGUGCCUCCCCCCGUUGCUCACAUGCCCUGACUCAGUGCUGCUGGCAGGGAUGAAUGGAGCACAGCGUGAGGUCAGCUCCCAGACAGCACUGUCCCAGCCCCUCCCCGGGAACGUCACAAAGGACCCACCACCCAUCUGCGUGGGCACCCAUUUCUGAAGGGCUAAUAUCCUGUCAGCAGUUCCUAAGUGCUUCAGAGGUCCUUCCUGUGCUUCUGAAGCCACCAGAACCUAAUGAAAUCCAGUAUAUAACUACAGCUUGGCCUUGUGUAAGUCGUGCAGUCUGUGUGGCUUCUUCACCUGUGUAUGUUGGGCAGCUGCUAUGUGGUGCACUUCCCAAAGGUGGCUUAUGGGUUGAGAAGUACCACGUGGGUCUUUUCCUGGAGACACAACCAUGCAAGUGUCAUCAAGAUGUGUACAGACUCCCAUGGACUGAGAGCACACUGCUUCCCUCAUCCAUGUAGGCUGGCAGUGAGACACAGGAUGUUUAGGUGCUGAUCUUCAACCCUUGAACUCCAGGUCAAGAGCCCCAGGAGAAUCUGGACAGCACAGAGAGGUCUUUGGAGAUUGUUCGCACAGCGCAUUGUAAUGCUCAGAUUUAUGCGGUCUCUUUUUUAUCAUGAGAUUUGGUAUUGAAUCUAAAUGACUUUUCAAUCAUUAAGAAUUCUUUCAAAUGAGUCAAAAAGCCCUUGAUCUCUAAAGAGAGGUAUAUUUCUCUUGGUUACCAGUAAAAAAAGAAACGAACAAAUAUGCACCAUUCAGGACAAAUGUGGAAAACAACCAUAUAUUCCAAGGGCAAUCAAUAGUUACAAAGCAUCACCAGUUUUGACUGUCCUUAGAAAAGGAAAGCUACAGCUGAUCCUAUGUUAAUUAAAAGUCUGAGUAUGUACAGUCGUAAGGCUUGUUUUCAUCUGUGUGAAUGGCCAGCGAUGCAGGUAACUUUGUGCCUUAAGGGUCAGUGAUCGUGGCAUCACAGUUUGCAUGAUGUCCCCUGUGCUGGUGACAAUGGCACGUGCACAAGAACUCAUCUCCUUAUCCUGAGCCUUGUUGCCGAUACUGCUAUCCACUUAUUGCAUCAUAAAGAGAGACAGGGAAGCAUGAAGCACCAUGUCCUGGUUUCUUUGCUGUGCAGCUCCUUGCCCUUCUGCUGUCUACUCACUUUGCCUUGAGCUCAUUCUUUUGCUCCUGCUGCUUGAACAUAUGGUGCUUCGUUUUCAGAGCCAGGACUUUCAGAAUAGACUGUGUAUGCCUCUUUCAUUUUCUGACAUGAGUCCAUCAACAGUUGAGGACUAGCUUGGAGCAAUGGCACUGGUGUGGACAUGGCUGCAAUUUAGGUGGAAUGGAGCUCCAGCAGAGAGCACAGGUGCAGUACUCUUCUUAAAAGAACCUCCUGAGGAGUGCAGCCAUUGCCACCAAGGCUUCUCACAGUUUUCUGAAGCACCUCUGAUUCAAGAUAUGACACCUGCAAACAGUAUCUCAGCUGGCCUGGAGCCCAAGCAGUCAGGACUCUAGGAAGGGUAGGAGGGUGUGCUAAAGGGCCUGACAGGUUGCUGACACUGCUAACUCACAUGGAUUGAGUGCCCCAGCGUAUGCUGCUUCUCUAAUUAGAGGAUUGGAGCUCUAUACGCAAUAGCUUAGGAAACUGUCAUGGGGUUGUGGAAGAAAUGAGGCUGCUCCCUGUAGGAUCCUGAGAUAAGCAAAGGGUGUCUCUGAGAUUGCUCUUCCAGAAGGAAGGGAUGCAAGUGCAGAGAAAAAAUCUUCAAGGGAAGAGGAAUUGCUAUCAUCUACCUCUUGGCUCUUACAAGAGACCAGCAGUGUCUGAGUGAGCAGUGUGCCAUCCAUGCCAUUCCCCAGAACUACCAUGAAGGAGCCUGCUCUAGAAACAACAGCCAGGCCUCUAACAUGGAGCUGUAGCUUCUGCCUGUUCAAGUAGCAGAUACCUAUGUGUAACAUGCAACAUCCUAUCCUUAAAAAUCAAGAUCUCCACCUACGCUGGCACUGAGGUGGGCACAAAGCAUG